GUUUCAGAAGAGAGAAAAGCACGGCGGGCAUCAACUGGAUUUCUGUGGCUGGUAAAGCUGUGCCGAGAACUGGGCUGACUGCUGCCCCUGGCAAUGUGUGCAAAGUCUGCAGAGGCAGAGGAAUGACUUUUCUCUCCAAAGUUGAGCUUGUCUAAGCACGGGAAGGUUGGAGAGGCUUUUUGCGAACCGAAGAUGGAGGGAGGAAAAGCAAGUGAAAGGCACGCUGUGCACAGCCAGCACACAGCACCUGCACCAUUGCCCUGCACAAAGGAGGAGCAGCUCAGCAAGCUUGGCCUGGGCCAUGGAAGGGAGCGUGCAAACGUCUGGAGCAGCCCCAGAUGGGCUGGUUCUGCAGGUUGCUGUCUGCUGCUGUUUUCUCACAUCCUGUUGCUCGGGGGUGGAUUUGUUCAUGUUCAGAGCUAGCAGGAAGCUCGCAAAGCCCUUUGUUUCAGCUGUCCCAAGGCUUUGAUCCCUGGCUGCUGGGAUGGGGCGUUUGAGGAGUGAUGCCUGUGCUGUUGUCCAGCCAAGCUUUGGGGAAGGGCAGGUGGUGAACCUCACGAGCCAAAGCCUGCAGAUGGGGUUUGCGGAGAAAGAGGUCCUGCAGGCCUUGUGUGGCAGCCACGGAGCUGGAGCGAGGCUGCGUCAGUGUAAAAGCCCAGCAAUGCACAGAGGUGUGAAGGUGAGCUGUGGGCUCGAGUAUCACAAGAGGGGGUGUGCAUGGUCAGGGCUUGGAUGCUUCUGUGUGUUUGAAGUGACUGUGGGGUAGUUAGCACUGCUGGGUGAGCUUGAGUGUCUGGAACAAGUGUGACGUGUCUUCCAGUUGCACGCUGUGUUCUUCCUGUUGUGUUGAGCUCUUGAGCUCCAGCCCUAAGUGAGGAUGCAAGCGCUACUGCAGAAGGAACGGGUUGAGAUUGGAAAUGCAGUGCAAAGGGCUGGAGCCAGCAGGAGCUGGGAUGUGAUCAUCCCCCUGUACUCAGCUCUGGUGAGUCCUCACCUUGAGUGCUGUGUUCAGUUCUGGGUCCCUGACUACAAGAAGGACACUGAAUCCCCGAGAUAUUGCCAGAGAAGAGCAGUGAAGCUGUGAAGAGUGUAGAGCACCAGUCUCAUGGGGAGCGGCUGGCUGAGAGAACUGGGAUUAUUUAGCCUGGAGAAGAGGAGGCUCAGGGCAGACCUUAUCCCUCUCUACAAUGAGCUGAAGAGAGAUUAUGUCGAGGUGGGGGUCGUCUUAUUCUCCCGUGUCAGUAGCGAUAGGACUGGGGGGAACGGCCUCAAGUUGCACGGGGGGAGAUUGAGGCUGGACGUUAAGAAACGCUUCUCCACAGGAGUGCCCAGGGAGGUGAUGGAGUUACUGUCCCUGCAGGUGUUCAAGAAACGUUAGAUGUGGCAGUGAGGGACGUGGCUUAGUGGGGAAUAUUGGUGGUAGGUGGACGGUUGGACUGGAUGAUCUUGGAGAUCUUUUGCAAGCUUGCUAAUUCUAUGAUUCUGUGAAAGGCAUCUGCUGGGCGAGUGCUUUGAUGGGUGAGCAUCCGGCUGCUGGACAGCAGGCAGCUGUUGUCUGUGCAGACAGCCACAUCCAUGGGGAGUGGAGGCUUUUUCACCUUAGCCUUGUCUUUCAUGUCUCACGUGCAGUAAGUCCUGUUGUUACACACAGCAUCUUGGGGGCAACCUUGAUUUCUGCAGCCCCGAGCUUUGUGGCACGAGAGCUCUCGGCCA